rnacentral:snRNA from 1 species
AGAUGUGAGGUCGAUCUGGUUGCAACAUCUGUCACCCCACUGAUCGCCAGAGCUGAUUCGGCUGAUCUGGCUGGCUACGCAGGUGUCCCCUACCUCCCUCACUGCUCCAUGUGUGUCCCUCCCAGAGCUGCACACUCAGUUGAAGAGGAGGGCCUUCCCCGAAUAGAGAGGGUCUAGGAGUAGCUGCGCUCCCCUGCUAGAGCCUCCAAACAAGCUCUCCCUAUCUCCCCUCUUGAUUUCUGUCUGUCUCUAUUCAAUAAACAGAAGAAAGUGCACACAGUGUGGAAUGCCAAGUGUGGAAGCUGCUCUCU